rfam:Myotis brandtii contig155448, whole genome shotgun sequence.
AGGCCCGGAGAGAGGCAGGGUCUGAUCCGCAGCUUCCAUGGCAGCUGUUGAUCAGCCAUUGCCUCUCUCUUUCUCCCCG